GUGGUCUUUCUCAUCAAGAGCAGUUGCUGAUGCAACUGCAAUUUGAAUGCUCCCACUCUCAAGAGCCAAAUUAAACCGAGUUCUCUCAUCUUUCACAAAAUGAAGAGCAACUUCAGGGAAACCCUUCUGUUGCAAAUAACUGAUCAUUGCUUGCCCACAAAGCUGAGAGUUUUUAAUCAUGCUCAUUACAUGGUCAAAUUUCUUCUUCAGCAGUGACAGCUUGAACAUGUACUCUGUUGCAUCAAUAACUAUGGUUUUG
rnacentral:misc_RNA from 1 species